CAGUAGCCACGGGAAUACGUAGGUGGCAAGCGUUGUCCGGAAUUAUUGGGCGUAAAGGGCUCGCAGGCGGUUUCUUAAGUCUGAUGUGGAAGCCCCCGGCUCAACCGGGGAGGGCCAUUGGAAACUGGGAAACUUGAGUGCAGAAGAGGAGAGUGGAAUUCCACGUGUAGCGGUGAAAUGCAUAGAGAUGUGGAGGAACACCAGUGGCGAAGGCGACUCUCUGGUCUGUAACUGACGCUGAGGAGCGAAAGCGUGGGGAGCGAACAGGAUUAGAUACCCCAGUAGUCCCUGUCUCUUAUAC
rnacentral:rRNA from 1 species